UACGGAGGGUGCAAGCGUUAUCCGGAUUCACUGGGUUUAAAGGGUGCGUAGGUGGGCAAGUAAGUCAGUGGUGAAAUCUCCGGGCUUAACCCGGAAACUGCCAUUGAUACUAUUUGUCUUGAAUACUGUGGAGGUCAGCGGAAUAUGUCAUGUAGCGGUGAAAUGCUUAGAUAUGACAUAGAACACCCAUUGCGAAGGCAGCUUACUACGGGAUUAUUGACACUGAGGCACGAAAGCGUGGGGAUCAAACAGG
rnacentral:rRNA from 1 species